UACGUAGGGUGCGAGCGUUAAUCGGAAUUACUGGGCGUAAAGAGCUCGUAGGUGGUUUGUCGCGUUGUUCGUGAAAUCCCACGGCUUAACUGUGGGCGUGCGGGCGAUACGGGGCAGACUGGAGUACUGCAGGGGAGACUGGAAUUCCUGGUGUAGCGGUGGAAUGCGCAGAUAUCAGGAGGAACACCGGUGGCGAAGGCGGGUCUCUGGGCAGUAACUGACGCUGGAGGAGCGAAAAGCGUGGGGAGCGAACAGG
rnacentral:rRNA from 1 species